AUGGUCCAAGUCAGGGCCUCCGGCUCCCGGUUCAAAAUUACGUCCGUCUACGGGCCGACCCUCUCGUCCCUCAAAGAGGCCUUCUUCACCGACCUUGCAAGCCAAAAACCACCCAGUGGGGACGAUGUGGUUGCUAAUGCAUGGAAUGAGCACACUCAUCAUACCGACCCCUUUCGGAUAUUGCACCACAAGCUUCAACACACUGGCGCCAAACUCUUGAGAUGGAGUAAGGGCCUAUUCUCAAAGGCCAAGAUCAUGCAUCAUGCUGCCUUGCUAGUAAUUCUUCACCUGGACAUGGCUCAAGACUCGAGGCACCUCUCCGUUGAGGAGCUAGAGCUCCGCUCUAGGCUUAAGCGGAGAGUCAUUGCCUUGGCAGUUCUUGAGAGGGCGAGAAAAAAGCAAUGGCUAUUUCAUAAAAUCCGUGGCCGUGGGGUUCUUUUACGAACCUCCCUUUAUGCGGACGACGCGGCGGUCUUCAUGGCACCCAUCAAGCGCGAUAUUGACCACCUCUCCAACAUCCUUCGUCUUUUUGGUGAUGUCACCGGUCUAGCCACCAACUUUCACAAGAGCUCGGUCAUCCCAAUCCGUUGUGGGCACAUCAACCUGUCGGACAUCCUUCAAAAGCUUCCGGCGGCGCGCGGAUCCUUCCCCAUGAAAUACUUAGGCCUCCCGCUCUCUGUGUGGCGGCUCAGGAAGGUUUUUUUUAGGGUUUUCAAAAUAUCCAGCUUCUAA
rnacentral:rRNA from 1 species